AAUCAACGCUGGCGGCGUGCCUAACACAUGCAAGUCGAACGCGAAAGUCCCGCAAGGGAUUAGUAGAGUGGCAAACGGGUGAGUAACACGUGGGUGACCUGCCUUCGAGCGGGGGAUAACGUCCCGAAAGGGACGCUAAUACCGCAUAACAUCCUGCCUUUUAAGAGGUGGUGAUCAAAGCCGGGGAUUCGCAAGAACCUGGCACUUGAAGAGGGGCCCGCGCCUGAUUAGCUAGUUGGUGGGGAAUGGCCUACCAAGGCAACGAUCAGUAUCCGGCCUGAGAGGGCGGACGGACACACUGGGACUGAGACACGGCCCAGACUCCUACGGGAGGCAGCAGUAAGGAAUAUUGGUCAAUGGACGCAAGUCUGAACCAGCCAUGCCGCGUGAAGGAUGAAGGCCCUCUGGGUUGUAAACUUCUUUUAUCUGGGAAGAAAUGCCUUGUUUUCUAACGGGUUUGACGGUACCAGAGGAAUAAGCACCGGNUAACUCCGUGCCAGCCGCCGCUGUAAG
rnacentral:rRNA from 1 species